ACAACGAAGAGUUUGAUCCUGGCUCAGGAUGAACGCUAGCGACAGGCUUAACACAUGCAAGUCGAGGGGCAGCACAGGUAGCAAUACCGGGUGGCGACCGGCGCACGGGUGAGUAACGCGUAUGCAACUUGCCUAUCAGAGGGGGAUAACCCGGCGAAAGUCGGACUAAUACCGCAUGAAGCAGGGAUCCCGCAUGGGAAUAUUUGCUAAAGAUUCAUCGCUGAUAGAUAGGCAUGCGUUCCAUUAGGCAGUUGGCGGGGUAACGGCCCACCAAACCGACGAUGGAUAGGGGUUCUGAGAGGAAGGUCCCCCACAUUGGUACUGAGACACGGACCAAACUCCUACGGGAGGCAGCAGUGAGGAAUAUUGGUCAAUGGCCGAGAGGCUGAACCAGCCAAGUCGCGUGAGGGAUGAAGGUUCUAUGGAUCGUAAACCUCUUUUAUAAGGGAAUAAAGUGCGGGACGUGUCCCGUUUUGUAUGUACCUUAUGAAUAAGGAUCGGCUAACUCCGUGCCAGCAGCCGCGGUAAUACGGAGGAUCCGAGCGUUAUCCGGAUUUAUUGGGUUUAAAGGGUGCGUAGGCGGCCUUUUAAGUCAGCGGUGAAAGUCUGUGGCUCAACCAUAGAAUUGCCGUUGAAACUGGGGGGCUUGAGUAUGUUUGAGGCAGGCGGAAUGCGUGGUGUAGCGGUGAAAUGCAUAGAUAUCACGCAGAACCCCGAUUGCGAAGGCAGCCUGCCAAGCCAUUACUGACGCUGAUGCACGAAAGCGUGGGGAUCAAACAGGAUUAGAUACCCUGGUAGUCCACGCAGUAAACGAUGAUCACUAGCUGUUUGCGAUACAUUGUAAGCGGCACAGCGAAAGCGUUAAGUGAUCCACCUGGGGAGUACGCCGGCAACGGUGAAACUCAAAGGAAUUGACGGGGGCCCGCACAAGCGGAGGAACAUGUGGUUUAAUUCGAUGAUACGCGAGGAACCUUACCCGGGUUUGAACGCAUUCGGACCGAGGUGGAAACACCUUUUCUAGCAAUAGCCGUUUGCGAGGUGCUGCAUGGUUGUCGUCAGCUCGUGCCGUGAGGUGUCGGCUUAAGUGCCAUAACGAGCGCAACCCUUGCCACUAGUUACUAACAGGUGAUGCUGAGGACUCUGGUGGGACUGCCAGCGUAAGCUGCGAGGAAGGCGGGGAUGACGUCAAAUCAGCACGGCCCUUACAUCCGGGGCGACACACGUGUUACAAUGGCGUGGACAAAGGGAGGCCACCUGGCGACAGGGAGCGAAUCCCCAAACCACGUCUCAGUUCGGAUCGGAGUCUGCAACCCGACUCCGUGAAGCUGGAUUCGCUAGUAAUCGCGCAUCAGCCAUGGCGCGGUGAAUACGUUCCCGGGCCUUGUACACACCGCCCGUCAAGCCAUGGGAGCCGGGGGUACCUGAAGUCCGUAACCGCGAGGAUCGGCCUAGGGUAAAACUGGUGACUGGGGCUAAGUCGUAACAAGGUAGCCGUACCGGAAGGUGCGGCUGGAACACCUCCUUU
rnacentral:rRNA from 1 species